rnacentral:rRNA from 1 species
UGCGUAGGCGGACUAAUAAGUCAGUGGUGAAAUCUUUCGGCUCAACCGGGAAACUGCCAUUGAUACUGUUAGUCUUGAGUUCGGUUGAGGUAGGCGGAAUGUGUAAUGUAGCGGUGAAAUGCUUAGAUAUUACACAGAACACCAAUUGCGUAGGCAGCUUACUAGACCGACACUGACGCUGAGGCACGAAAGCGUGGGGAGCGAACAGGAUUAGAUACCCUGGUAGUC